AUACGGAGGACGCGAGCGUUAUCCGGAUUCAUUGGGUUUAAAGGGUGCGCAGGCGGCCGUGCAAGUCAGCGGUGAAAGCCCGGGGCUCAACCCCGGAAGUGCCGUUGAUACUGCAUGGCUGGAAUGCGGUCGAGGCGGGCGGAACGUGGCGGGGAGCGGGGGAAUGCGUAGAUAUGCCACAGAACGCCGAUAGCGGAGGCAGCUCGCCAGGCCUGCAUUGACGCUCGGGCACGAAAGCGUGGGGAUCGAACAGGAUUAGAUACCCUGGUAGUCCACGCCGUAAACGAUGGGCGCUCGUCGUCGGCGGCAGACAGUCGGCGGCCAAGCGAAAGCGAUAAGCGCCCCACCUGGGGAGUACGGUCGCAAGGCUGAAACUCAAAUGAAUUGACGGGG
rnacentral:rRNA from 1 species